CUGUCCCAGAAGCUGUCCAGUUCUCUGGCGCACCCUCUAACCUGUUCAGACUAAUUUCCUAGGUCCCGCGGAGUUCCGAAACCCAGAUGGCGACCCCUGCUCGUGACGAGUUCUUGAAACAGCAUUUAAAGUCCCUUAAAAUAUAGGAGAAAAGUUGAUCAUACUUAAGAAACAUACGUUUUGACAUCCCAUCCAUGGUUCUGUCAUCUCCAAUAUCCAGGAUUCAGUACUGCAACUAAGCCUGUAAAAUCUCAAGUGAUCUCUCCUGACGUCAUACUACCAACUCUCAACUGAUCUCCAUGACCACUUUAACUGCAUGCCACCAAAACCAGUACAGUGCAUCAAGGCCAGCAUACAAUGUGGGAAGACUGCUCUUCUGUAAGCUGUUGGUGCCAUUUUUUUCCAUUUUAAGUGAACUUUCUGUCACAAUUUGUCUGGACCACAUGUGUGAAAACGGUCAACUCAUGGAAUUGUGAUGCUGGGAAGAAGUCAAA